rnacentral:rRNA from 1 species
CAGCAGCCGCGGGAAUACGUAGGUCCCGAGCGUUGUCCGGAUUUAUUGGGCGUAAAGCGAGCGCAGGCGGUUAGAUAAGUCUGAAGUUAAAGGCUGUGGCUUAACCAUAGUACGCUUUGGAAACUGUUUAACUUGAGUGCAAGAGGGGAGAGUGGAAUUCCAUGUGUAGCGGUGAAAUGCGUAGAUAUAUGGAGGAACACCGGUGGCGAAAGCGGCUCUCUGGCUUGUAACUGACGCUGAGGCUCGAAAGCGUGGGGAGCAAACAGGAUUAGAGACCCCAGUAGUCCCUGUCUCUUAUACA